GACGAACCGAGCGAACGUUAUUCGGAAUCACUGGGCUUAAAGGGUGCGUAGGCGGGCACGCGAGUCAGGGGUGAAAUCCCACGGCCCAACCGUGGAAGUGCCUCUGAUACCGCGAGCCUCGAGGGGGAUAGGGGCGUGCGGAACUUCCGGUGGAGCGGUGAAAUGCGUAGAUAUCGGAAGGAACACCAGUGGCGAAGGCGACUUCCUGGCCUGUUCUUGACGCUGAGGCGCGAAAGCUAGGGGAGCAAACGGGG
rnacentral:rRNA from 1 species